rnacentral:rRNA from 2 species
AAUCCAUAGGUUAAUGAGGCGAACCGGGGGAACUGAAACAUCUAAGUACCCCGAGGAAAAGAAAUCAACCGAGAUUCCCCCAGUAGCGGCGAGCGAACGGGGAGGAGCCCAGAGCCUGAAUCAGCAUGUGUGUUAGUGGAAGCGUCUGGAAAGGCGCGCGAUACAGGGUGACAGCCCCGUACACAAAAGCGCAUGUGCUGUGAGCUCGAUGAGUAGGGCGGGACACGUGGUAUCCUGUCUGAAUAUGGGGGGACCAUCCUCCAAGGCUAAAUACUCCUGACUGACCGAUAGUGAACCAGUACCGUGAGGGAAAGGCGAAAAGAACCCCGGCGAGGGGAGUGAAAAAGAACCUGAAACCGUGUACGUACAAGCAGUGGGAGCCCCACCACCAAAGCAUUUGCUGUACCGCGUUGACGGAGCGAAGCGACGUCAAACCGA